AGCAAAGGACCUGAGUAAACUGAUUCAGAGCAAGCAGAAUCUAAACAGUGUGCACAUGAUAGCCAAUCCAAUGAGAGUGGUGAAGCCGCCAACCAAUGGCCAGUCGCUCCCUCAGACACAGAUCCUGGUUUUGCCUCCUACUGACACGACAGAUCUAAAGCCACAG